rnacentral:tRNA from 1 species
GGCGGGAUAGCUCAGGUGGUUAGAGCAGCGGAAUCAUAAUCCGCGUGUCGGGGGUUCAAGUCCCUCUCCCGCUA